GUCUAUGGCCAUGCUACCCUGAACAAGUUCGAUCUUGUUUGUUCUCAGAAGCUAAGCAAGGCUGGGCCUGAUUAGUACUUGGAUGGGAGACCACCUAGGAAGACCGGGUGCUGUAGGUG
rnacentral:rRNA from 1 species